UGGAACAAAUCAAAACGAAUAACGAAUCGAAUCAAAUUUAAAGAAUAAAAUGCUCAGCCUUCCUGUUCGGUACACUAUUGACUCGGUGGACUUUUGCAUUUGGGUUGGUUUCCAUUUUUUCAUGCCAACUUUGAUUUAAAACAGUUUUAAACAGAAUGAUAUUUUGAAUUGCUUUUAUCUUCCAAUGAAUUUGCUUUGUUUUUUAUGUAAUUCCUUACACUAACCUCUAUACAGUAUUCUUUAUAACACGGUUAUACUAUAAAUCUUGAAUGAUAUAAUAUAUCAACAAGUAUAUUUACAAUAUCACAAUAAUAAAAGGGGGAUUUCCUCGAAAUCUAGGCAUUCCAUGUCAUCAAAAAUAUUCAACCAAUCAGAACAUUUUAUUUUGGGGUAUGGGCUUAAAAUUUGUUUAGAAUGGACUUAGGUGUGUGGGCUUCGUUUGGUUUAGGUUUGGGAUUUUUUUCAUCUGCCGAUCAAGAUUCUGCUGAUCAACGAGAAGAAAGUUUUAGACGUUCUCUCUUCCCAAAACGUCUGCCGAUCAAGAUUCUUUAGGACUUAAUGGUAUUGUCUCCUGAAGCUUUAAAUCAGCUUAUCAUAGUCUCUUAAACCAUGAGUUUUUCUUUCUUCCUCGAGUCUGUAGUCUCCUGCUACGACGCCGCUUUGCAUUCUCCGGUCAGAUUAUGAAUACGACGGAUCCACAUUUAAUCACUAACGCCACUCAAGAGUUAGUUUUUUUUGCAGAUUCAAGACAAUCGGCAAUACCAAAGCUUCAGGAAAGGAAAUUAAAGGGAAACGAUCUUAAAUAGGGACAAAGUUGGUCGAAACGUUAAUCCAUGGGUUUAAGGUUGAUUAGGAAAGGGAUCCCGCCGGUAUUAAGGUAAAAGGUUUGCCUUUUAUUUCUGAUGUUGCCAAGAAAAGUCCACCGCCCUAGAGAAUUAUUACAGUGAUUUGAGCAGGCCGAGAAGGAAAGACCACAUUGACAACACAUCAGAU